AGAGUUUGAUCAUGGCUCAGAUUGAACGCUGGCGGCAUGCCUUACACAUGCAAGUCGAACGGUAACAGGUUAAGCUGACGAGUGGCGAACGGGUGAGUAAUGUAUCGGAACGUGCCCAGUCGUGGGGGAUAACUACUCGAAAGAGUGGCUAAUACCGCAUGAGACCUGAGGGUGAAAGCGGGGGACUCGCAAGGGCCUCGCGCGAUUGGAGCGGCCGAUAUCAGAUUAGGUUGUUGGUGAGGUAAAAGCUCACCAAGCCGACGAUCUGUAGCUGGUCUGAGAGGACGACCAGCCACACUGGGACUGAGACACGGCCCAGACUCCUACGGGAGGCAGCAGUGGGGAAUUUUGGACAAUGGACGCAAGUCUGAUCCAGCCAUGCCGCGUGCGGGAAGAAGGCCUUCGGGUUGUAAACCGCUUUUGUCAGGGAAGAAACGGCUUUGUUUAAUACACGAGGCUAAUGACGGUACCUGAAGAAUAAGCACCGGCUAACUACGUGCCAGCAGCCGCGGUAAUACGUAGGGUGCAAGCGUUAAUCGGAAUUACUGGGCGUAAAGCGUGCGCAGGCGGUUAUGCAAGACAGAUGUGAAAUCCCCGGGCUCAACCUGGGAACUGCAUUUGUGACUGCAUGGCUAGAGUACGGUAGAGGGGGAUGGAAUUCCGCGUGUAGCAGUGAAAUGCGUAGAUAUGCGGAGGAACACCGAUGGCGAAGGCAAUCCCCUGGACCUGUACUGACGCUCAUGCACGAAAGCGUGGGGAGCAAACAGGAUUAGAUACCCUAGUAGUCC
rnacentral:rRNA from 1 species